rnacentral:rRNA from 1 species
UACGAAGGGGGCUAGCGUUGCUCGGAUUGACUGGGCGUAAAGGGCGCGUAGGCGGUUUGUACAGUCAGACGUGAAAUUCCUGGGCUCAACCUGGGGGCUGCGUUUGAUACGUGCGAGCUUGAGUUCGGAAGAGGGUCGUGGAAUUCCCAGUGUAGAGGUGAAAUUCGUAGAUAUUGGGAAGAACACCGGUGGCGAAGGCGGCGCUCUGGGCCGGAACUGACGCUGAGGAGCGAAAGCGUGGGUAGCAAACAGG